rnacentral:lncRNA from 1 species
AGAAGGAAAGCUGGGACGGGCCGGGACCACAGGAGCCCCAGCCCCACACAGCAACCACCCGGGCGAGAAAGAAAGAAAGAGCCAGGGAGGCGGGCGAAGCGCGGGGAGAGAAGCAGAGAAGAAAUAUUCACCUUCCCGCCUCAUGCCCACUUUGAGGCACUUCUUGAGGCGGCAGUAUUGGCACUGGUUGCGGUGGUGCUGGUCGAUGGGACAGUUCCUGUUGGCACGGCAUGUGUAAGUUAAGUUCCUGCGGACGCUCCUCUUGAAGAAACUUUUGCAGCCCUCGCAGCAGGUAGAUGAAACUCAAGAGAAAAGGUGUGGAUAAAUGAAACUAGCCCAUGAUGAACCUGUUUUCUCCGUGACCACAAUAUUAACCAGGAUGAAUGGCGGUGGCAGUGGGCCUGCAUCACAGGUUGCAGCAGAUGUUCUCAAUAUUUCUAUUAAAAUUUCCUUAUUUCCAUAUGCAAGAGGAGCCCCAGAGCUGCAUCCUUAUGGUAGCUACCAUGCCGUGAUGUAAGCUGCCAUUCACUGGGGAGCUUUGGCAAUAGAAUUGGCUAGAUCAGGAAGCCUAUGUCAACUAUGGAACAACAACUUGCAGCUCAUCUCUAUUGAUG